AGAAGAGUGAAUAACCUUUGACCUAAGGCUUUGUUACACGGAAAGAUGAAAAAAAUGACCGUUUGCUUCUUUCUGUUGCUGAGAAGUUGGGCUUCUUUUAUAUCCUUCCAUCAGACUAGUUUUCCACUCGUCAACGACAGAGCUGAUUCUUUGACGUUCGACCGUGAUCGCCAUUCACUUCACAGCUGGGAAAGUGUCACCCUUUGGAACGUAAAUACCACGUCGAAAGUUAGACUGCAUCAACAUGAAAUUCCAAGUUCCAGUCGAAUAUCCUAAGUAUACAUGCAAGGAGUUGUAGGGAGGUUCAUGCAAGGAGUUGUAGGGAGGUUCAUAGAGAGGGUAGGAUCAUAGAUAUAGGUAUUGAACACCUAUGGUAGGAUGCAAUGCACUCGGUACAGAGUUUAAUUUGAUACACAAAUAAUUAUAAAGUAUUUUUAUUAUCAAUUUCAAUUUGCCAGAUAAUUGAUCGAUGAAAUAUGAUAGUGAUACUUAAAAUUUUAAUAGUGAAUAAAAUUUGCCUAUGACCCUAUUCUAUGGUCUUUGAGCAUAUGUAUAGUACUAUUCUUCAUAGCUGGAGUCAUUAUCUUUUUGAUGCUUCUGUACAUACGUAUGUAUUUUAUAGCCAAACCAAUGAUACGUUGUUGGUAAGAUCUUACAGCCUUUACUGUUGAACUUUGCUUAUUUUUCAAUAGGUAUAAUAUGCUACAGAUGUUCACACAUGAGAUGGCUAGUGCACCACAACUGUGAAAGAUGUCGAGUUUUCUACAUAUUUUGUCAUGAGAGUCUAGUAGGCCAAUGAAUGCUAUAAUUGAUGCAACUGAAUUAAUGAAGCACGAGAUUCUGAACUGAAGUUUAAAAAUAGCAGAAUCUUACAGUAUUAAUUCACAUUGUCUCUCACUUAUAACGUUGCCAAAAUCCUUGUGAAUCCGACACAAGCAGC